CCUACGGGAGGCAGCAGUGGGGAAUUUUGCGCAAUGGGCGAAACCCUGACGCAGCAACGCCGCGUGAGUGACGAAGGCCUUCGGGCUGUAAACUGCUUUCAGCAGGGCAGAAAUUGACGGUACCUGCAGAUGAAGCUCCGGCUAACUACGUGCCAGCAGCCGCGGUAAUACGUAGGGGGCGAGCGUUAUCCGGAAUCAUUGGGCGGAAAGCGGGCGUAGGUGGCCCGCUAAGCCGGAAGUUAAACCCACGGGGUCAACUUUCGGACGGGGUGCGGAACUGGGCGGCUGGAGUGCGGUAGAGGAGAGGGGAAUUCCUGGUGUAGCGGUGGAAUGCGUAGAUAUCAGGAAGAACACCGAUGGCGAAGGCAGCUCUCUGGGCCGUCACUGACGCUGAGGCGCGAAAGCUGGGGGAGCAAACAGGAUUAGAUACCCUAGUAGUC
rnacentral:rRNA from 1 species